GCGACCCAGGUCAGGCGGGACUAC
rnacentral:rRNA from 2 species